rnacentral:rRNA from 1 species
CUCGUAGGUGGUUUGUCGCGUCGUCUGUGAAAUUCCGGGGCUUAACUCCGGGCGUGCAGGCGAUACGGGCAUAACUUGAGUACUGUAGGGGUAACUGGAAUUCCUGGUGUAGCGGUGAAAUGCGCAGAUAUCAGGAGGAACACCGAUGGCGAAGGCAGGUUACUGGGCAGUUACUGACGCUGAGGAGCGAAAGCAUGGGUAGCAAACA